AAAGUAAAGGCUGGGGUGGAAGACUGCUACCACUGAGUUUCAGGGUGUCUCCAGAUGUUUAUGAAGAACCAGCGCAAAGGAGAUGAUCUAUUUGACAGGCAGAACGCAUGGAAAGAAAAAAACAUGGGGUUCAGGGGAGAAAAUCUACAGCAGAAGCCAGCAAGAAGUGCUCAAAGUGGAAUUUAAACAAGAGCUUUAUCAUGCGAGCGACAGAUCUCUUCUUCAAGGGUUUCAAUUUAGUACAUUUCUUGUUGAUGAGUGACACUAAUAAUUGAGGUCAUCGGUCACCUUGAAUCCCAAACAAAGUCUUUGGUGAGGAUGUGGUGGGGGAAGGCCUUGAGCACGUCCGGGAUCUCUGUGAGGUGAUUAAAACUUCAUGGUCAUAUUCACCUCCCCAGUUCCCAGUGGUAAAUUCUUAAAUUGCUGUCUUGAUUUUUAUUUUCAAAUGGUUCUGACCUUAAAGAAAAAGAUCAGUGCGAAGAAUUUGUAAAGAAAUAAAACUAAGUGCUUGUAAAACCA
rnacentral:lncRNA from 1 species